rnacentral:rRNA from 1 species
CCUACGGGAGGCAGCAGUGGGGAAUAGUGCGCAAUGGGCGAAAGCCUGACGCAGCGACGCCGCGUGAGGGAUGAAGGUCUUCGGAUCGUAAACCUCUGUCAGCAGGGAAGAACGGUCACUGUGCUAAUCAGCAGUGAAUUGACGGUACCUGCAAAGGAAGCACCGGCUAACUCCGUGCCAGCAGCCGGGGUAAUACGGAGGGUGCGAGCGUUAAUCGGAAUUACUGGGCGUAAAGCGCUCGUAGGCGGUAUGUCAAGUCAAGGGGGAAAUCCCCGCGCUCAACGUGGGAACUGCCUUUGAAACUGGCAAACUGGAGUGUGUGAGAGGAUAGUGGAAUUCCAGGUGUAGGAGUGAAAUCCGUAGAUAUCUGGAGGAACAUCAGUGGCGAAGGCGACUAUCUGGCACAUAACUGACGCUGAGGAGCGAAAGCGUGGGUAGCAAACAGGAUUAGAUACCCCAGUAGUC